GGCUGUGAGGGGAUCUGGCAGCGACACCUGUAACCCACCAUGGCCAGGGUUGGCUUAGCUAAGCUGGCUGGCAAGGCAGGAACCCCUUCCUCCCUCUCGGCUCCAUGCGCGUCCCUCGUGAAGCUGCAUGCACGGUGGAAGAGGACAACGACCCGGUAGACGAGGGCCGUCCCUCAGUCAGGGGUACACGAGUAGCUGCACUGCCCUGCUAGACCCUCCCACGAGCUCUGGAGAAUGCACUUCCAGGAGGAAAGAUCCGCACUA
rnacentral:snRNA from 1 species